AUUGAACGCUGGCGGCAGGCUUAACACAUGCAAGUCGAGCGGGGUGAAGUGCUUCGGUACUGAUCCUAGCGGCGGACGGGUGAGUAACGCUUAGGAAUCUGCCAUUUAGUGGGGGACAACAUUACGAAAGGAAUGCUAAUACCGCAUACGUCCUACGGGAGAAAGCAGGGGAUCUUCGGACCUUGCGCUAAAUGAUGAGCCUAAGUCGGAUUAGCUAGUUGGUGGGGUAAAGGCCUACCAAGGUGACGAUCUGUAGCGGGUCUGAGAGGAUGAGCCGCCACACUGGGACUGAGACACGGCCCAGACUCCUACGGGAGGCAGGAGUGGGGAAUAUUGGACAAUGGGCGGAAGCCUGAUCCAGCCAUGCCGCGUGUGUGAAGAAGGCCUUUUGGUUGUAAAGCACUUUAAGCGAGGAGGAGGCUACCUGGAUUAAUACUCUGGGAUAGUGGACGUUACUCGCAGAAUAAGCACCGGCUAACUCUGUGCCAGCCGCCGCGGUAAUAC
rnacentral:rRNA from 1 species